rnacentral:snRNA from 1 species
UUUACUUACUCCGUGAAUCGGAGGCGGGG